UCGCGCGAGAGUCAGGACUGUGCCGCUCUGUGCCCCGUGCCGGCUCGAAGUUAGCGUCGGAAAAACGAGUGUCAACCGGUGUGAAAUCGGAUUGGGUUUGUCGCUAAUAGUUUCUGUGAAUCGUGCCGAUCGAAACAGCUCGAUUUCGUCUCUCUCGGCAGUUCUCCCUUCGUGUUUACAUUCGGCGAGUGAUUUGUUUACGUUCGGCGGUUUUAAGUGUGCCGGUGGGUUUUUGUGGUGUAUUCGGCGGAUCUGAUGGAUAACUCAGUGUGAUCGGUUGAUUUUUCCACCGGAGCGGCGUUUUCCCCUUGGAUUGUUCGUCUGAUAAGUGUUUCGAAAAAUGCGGCGAUCGCAUCGGAAAAAGCGGAUCCGGGUGUGGUGAUCGUAUCAGUGGGGAUUCUAAACGCGGAAAAGUGCGGGGGAUAGGGGUGGCCGAUGGCGAGGGGUUGUGUUGUGAUGUGUUGAUCGACUGGCCAUCUUUCCUCCGGGAAACUCGACCUCAUGAUGGCUUGGAUCAACGCCUGUUUCUGCUCCAAUCAAGAAAA